GUAGUCGGAUUCACAUCAAUCCACAUGUAUUGGGAUGAGUUGGAGUAGAACUUGAACUAAAUUCUAUCUCAAUCCACUCCAAUACAUGUGGAUUGAGGUGAAUCCGACA
rfam:Sorghum bicolor cultivar BTx623 chromosome 9, whole genome shotgun sequence.